GCGGGGGUGGGGGAGGGGGCGUUUAUUGAGCUUUCCCUCGGGGAGCGGGAACCUAACUUGCCUUAGUGCUGCAGAAUCAGAAAGCGCGCGAGGGCGCCCACUCCCGGGACAGUAGGAAGAAAGGGGAAGGGCACCAACGUGCAAGGGGCAGGCAUCCAAACUUCAGGAAGAAAGCUUGGUUUCCCCCGGCUCGGCUUGGUCCUCCUCCUCUUUCCACUGCCUGGGAAACCGCCCUCGGGUGCUCUCCGGCCUCUGGGACAGACAGGAAAGAAAACUCCUAAGCACGGGAGGAUCUUAUUCCCUGACUCGCUUUUGGUUGCAAAGCCAGUCACCUGACCUCAGAGAUCUUUGCAAGGGUUUACGAACUGCAUCUUGUUGUUUUCCAAAGCAGGGGUCUGUGGUCUGUGGUCCGGAUGGACACCGACUGACUGAACCGGCGCCUCGCGAUGGGCAUGGAAGCCGCUUCCGCCCCCAAGCCCAUCAGAGGGCCGUGGUCAACGCCCUCCCCCCGCCCGUUUCCUCAACAGCCCCUCCAAAUCUCCAUCGCCUGCCUCAAGCGGGAUCGUCCUCAUACCGUUCGGGACCCGAAGAGAUCAGAGGCCAGCUAGUCAAGAACUCUCCGUUUCCCGCACCCCCCCACCCCCGUUUGAACGUCCCUCUAUUUCUCUCCACCCACCCCUCCCCUUUCCCUUUGGGGUUUUCCAGGAAGAGGGAUUCAGCUUGGCAGUUCCAGGGUCCCGGCUCCACGUGGGUGCCCUGGGAACCAUCUGCUCAGCCUCCCCCUAAGAUCUCGUUGCCUCAGUUUGCCAGCUGCUUUCUCUUCGGCCCGUCUCUUUCCUUAAGCCGCUGAGCACACCCAAGUUCUCUCCCGGCAUCCACACCUCUCCUUUCUGCUCCUCCACCACCGCCUUCUCUCUCUACCUUUCACGGCUAAGCUGCUGCCAAAAGACCUCGACUCCUUCCUCGUCAGCCAUCCAGUCAUCGGCUCGUCUCUCACCGGCUCCUCGAAAGACUCCCCAAAUCUCGUCGCCGUCCCGUCCUAGCAAGAGGCCAGGGCACGCCCUUCGGUUCCUUCGUCUUCCUAAACUCUCUGUGGUGUCUGAGGAAUGCUGCCCACGUCUUCAGUCUCUGCAAGUUCUCUCCACCCUCUUUCUCUGGGGGAUGGCCCCCUCCCCAGGUGCCCUUCCUAACCUCAGACCCCUCUGUCUCACUUUCCUCUGCGGCUUCUCCUCCCGACCACUUCUCAAAGGGUUCUGUUCUCGAAGGCACGGUCUUCAGGGAACAGGAACCCCUCGGGUCUCAGAGCAAGCUCAUGCGCUCUCCUACGAUUCGACUCGCCCCCCGGAUGCCCAGGGCUUCUGAGUGCGUACGACUGACGUCACCCUGCCCCUGACUCCACGCUGCUUUCUCUAACUGUCUGCUGGACGCACCUCUCAGGAUGUCCAAAGGCUUCUCAAAACCGACACGUCCAAAAGGGAGCCCGAACAACAGGAAGACGGCAGAUCAGAGAGCAGCUUGAAUGGCAGCCCCCCCCCGCCCCGCCCCCGGCCCCGCCGAGCGGACAUCGUGCAGAGGCUUGGACCAGCUGAAAUGACGGAUCGCCCACUUCCCGCGUCACGGACAGAGAUCCUCGGCGUGCAACACGUCGAACCCCACUGACUUCGCACUUGUGACCCACGAAGAAAUACCAGUGACAGUCGCACCUGAGCAGAGGACUCUUCAAGCUUCACCCCCAGCGCUCUCCUGGUCCCACCCCUACCCCGAACCCCAGAUAAACGCCCCAACGUUUUGUUUUCCCUUUGAGGAGGCGGGUUUGAGUUUUACUCCCACCUCCUUGUCUGGCCGCCUCUUGAUCAUAAACCUCUUUCCUUGCUGCAA